rnacentral:rRNA from 1 species
UCUUUCUUUGCUGGCGACCGGCGCACGGGUGAGUAACACGUAUCCAACCUGCCCUUUACUCGGGGAUAGCCUUUCGAAAGAAAGAUUAAUACCCGAUAGCAUAAUGAUUCCGCAUGGUUUCAUUAUUAAAGGAUUCCGGUAAAGGAUGGGGAUGCGUUCCAUUAGGUUGUUGGUGGGGUAACGGCCCACCAAGCCUUCGAUGGAUAGGGGUUCUGAGAGGAAGGUCCCCCACAUUGGUACUGAGACACGGACCAA